GUGUCCUCUUACUGAUGUGAGCUUGCCUGCAUGCUUCCCCUGCUCGCUCGCCCUGCUCCACACUUUGCCGUGCUGUCUGCCUUUCUCCUUCGUAGUUUUUGAAGGAAAAAUAAAUGUCUUGUGAGUUGGCUGCUUGAAGAAUCCCAUAUCUCUAAAAGUGAUUUCAAUCCCAGGGCAAAUUUUUAGGCCUUAAAUUCUGUUUCUUUUGAGUCAUUUAUACUUAUCUAAUUACUUUGUGUUCUUUCCUGUAAGGGAUUGGCUUUUCAGUUUCUUACUUGCUGAGGAAAGAGAGACAGACAGACACACACACACACACACACACACACUACCAUCACUUGAAUUCAUGGCAGUUUAUCUGAGAUAGGUUGUCUAAAAAUUUGUGUUACCAUAUUAAGAUGGAGGUAUUUUUGUGUGAAAAAUUUUUUUAGUUUUAUUUAAGGUAUACAGAUUUCAUGUAUUUCAUAUAUAUACAGAUUUAGGGAAAUAGUGAUACUUCCCACCCUGCCCUCCCUCCCACCCUUCUUUCUCCUCCCUCUCCUACUUUCACUCUUAAUUUUUAUAAAGAUCUAUUUUCAGUUUACUUUAUGCUCAUAAGAUUAACCCUACAUUAACUAAGGAGUUCAACAAAUAGUAUGAAGAAAAAAACACUAUUCCUCAAAAGUAAGGACAAGGGUUGUAAACAAUCAUCAAAUCUCAAAGUGUCACUCUCACUCCGAUACAUUACAUUUUGGGUACUCUGUUAGUUACCACAGAUCAAGUGAGGAUGUGGGGAACAAGGUACCCUAAUCCACUGUUGGUGGGAAUGUAAACUGGUGCAGCUGUUGUGGAAGUUAGUAUGGAGAUACCUCAGAAAUCUGAAAAUAGAUCUACCAUAGGACCCAGCCAUCCCAUUCCUGGAGUUUACCCAAACAAAAUGAAAUCAGCAGGUGAAAGAGUUAUCUGUACCCUCAUGUUCAUUGCAGCUCAGUUCACAAUAGCUAAGAUAUGGAAUCAACCCAGAUGGAAUCAACCUAGAUGUCCAUAACUGAUGGCUGGAUAAAGAAAUUAUGGUAUAUAUACACUGUAGAAUACUACUCAGCAGUUAAAAAAAUGAAAUCCUGUCUUUUGUAACAAAAUGAAUGCAACUGGAAACCAUUAUAUUUUAAGAUGUAUCUUUUCAGCUGGCGCCACAGCUCAAUAGGCUAAUACUCCACCUGCAGUGCCGGCACACCGGGUUCUAGUCCCAGUUGGGGCGCCAGAUUCUAUCCCGGUCGCUCCUCUUCCAGGCCAGCUCUCUGCUGUGGCCCAGGAAGGCAGUGGAGGAUGGCCCAAGUGCUUGGGCCCUGCACCCCAUGGGAGACCAGGAGAAGCACCUGGCUCCUGGCUUCAGAUUGGUGCGGUGCGCCAGCCGCAGCACACCAGCCGCAGCAGCCAUUGGAGGGUGAACCAACGGUAAAGGAAGACCUUUCUCUCUGUCUGUCUCUCUCUCACUGUCCACUCUGCCUGUCAAAAAAAAAAAAAAAAAAAAAAAAAAAGAUGUAUCUUUUCAGUAGAGAGAAAUUUUAAAUAGCUGUGAGUUUCUGGAAAUAGGCAUUAUCUCAUUAGAUGUCCUUAUAAUUAAGAAACUUAAGCAUGUGGCUCAGCAGGAUAAGUCACUGCUUGUGACGCUGGCAUACCACAUGAGCACUUGUUCAAAUCCCAGUUGCUCCACUUCUGAUCCAAUUUCCUGCUAAUGCACCUGGGAAAGCAGCAAAAGAUGAUCCAAGUGCUUGAGAACCUUCCACACUUAUGGGAGACCCAGAUGGACUUCUAGGCUUUUGGCUUUGGCCCAAAGUCCCAGCCAUUGAGGCCAUUUGGAAAGUGAAUUAGCGGAUGCAGUGUCUCUCUCUGUCCUUCUUUCUCUGUAAUUCUGCCUGUCAAGUAAAUAAAAUAAAUCUUUAAAAUAGCAAUAAUAAAUAAACUAAAAGUAACCUUUGAAAUCCAAUUGCUCAGAUAUUGAUAACUCUGAAGCCUACCUCAAGGGAGUUAUUAUCUUUUUAGAGUGAAAUUACUACACAAAUUUCAGUAGAACUCUAAAACCAUUAAAAUACAUUUCUUUUUCAAAUUGUGAUAAAAUAUAAGGUAAAAAUGGCCAUUUUGACUGUUUUAAGAGUACAGUCCUAUGGCAUUGUGAACAUGCACAUUGUUGUACAACCAUCCCCAUCAUCCCUUUCCAUCCAAAACAUGACCUGCUUUCAUCUUGAGAAACUGAAACUCUGCGUCCAUUCAACAGAAGCUCCCAUCUCCCCCUCCCACAUCCCUGGCAGCCCCCAUUCUACUUUCUGUAACUUUGAUGUGGCUUCUCCUGGUACCUCACAGGAGUGGAAUCAAGCAGUAUUUGUCCUUUUGUGGUUUCCUUAUUUCACUUAGCUUAAAGUUCAUCCUUGUCGUAGUAUGUAUCAGAAUUUCCUUCCUUUGUACAAUGGAAUAGUAUUCAUUUGUAUAUAUAAACCAAAAUUUGUUUAGCCAGUUCUUCCAUUUUUGCUGAAAAAAAUUACACAAUAUUAAACAAUUAAAAACUUGGAAAAAAGAUGAGGGAAAGAGCUAUGCAAAUAAAUAUGUCAUAUUAGGAAAAUGAAUUUCAUUUUUCUAGAAAUGUUAGGGCUUUCUCAAAUGACCAGAACUUGCAUUUUGAAAUGACUCUUGUAUUUUUCUCUCUGUUGGUAGAUUGUUAUCUUUAAGAAGUCUUAAUUUCUUCUGUUUUGUGUGUACAUAUACGUAUAAAUACAAUUUUUUUUGGACAGGUAGAGUUAGACAGUGAGAAAGAGGGACAGAAAGGUCUUCCUUUUCGGUUGGUUCACCCCUUAAAUGGCCGCUGCGGCUGGCGUGCUGUGCCAAACCGAAGCCAGGAACCAGGUGCUUGCUUCUGGUCUCCCACAUGGGGUGCAGGGACCCAAGCACUUGGGCCAUCCUCCACUGCACUCCCAGGCCACAGCAGAGAGCUGGACUGGAAGAGGAGCAACCGGGAUAGAAUCCGGCGCUCCGACCGGGACUAGAACCUGGGGUGCUGACGCCACAGGCAGAGGAUUAGCCUAGUGAGCCACAGCGCUGGCCAUAAAUACAAUUUUUUAAAAAAAAGCUUUCCUGAUUUCCUCUUUUCCUCUCUAGUUGGUAGUAAUGUCUCCCUUCACUCACAAAACAUCUUCUAAAUCCCUCUAAAAUACACCUAUUUUUACCUGGUUUUUGCAGAUAUUUGUAUACCUGUGUGAUUUUUCUUUUUUUUUUUUUUAAGAUUUAUUUUAUUUAUUUGAAAAAGUUAAGGAGAGACAGAGAGAGAGGUUUUCCAUCUGCUGUUUCACUUCUCAAAUAGCUAUAAUGGGCCGGCGCCGCGGCUCACUAGGCUAAUCCUCCGCCUAGCGGCGCCGGCACACCGGGUUCUAGUCCCGGUCGGGGCGCCGGAUUCUGUCCCGGUUGCCCCUCUUCCAGGCCAGCCCUCUGCUGUGGCCAGGGAGUGCAGUGGAGGAUGGCCCAGGUGCUUGGGCCCUGCACCCCAUGGGAGAUCAGGAGAAGCACCUGGCUCCUGGCUUCGUAUCAGCGCGGUGCGCUGGCUGCAGCGGCCAUUGGAGGGUGAACCAACGGCAAAAGGAAGACCUUUCUCUCUGUCUCUCUCUCUUUCACUGUUCACUCUGCCUGUCAAAAAAAAAAAAAAAAAAAAAAAAAAAGAGA